AUACCCCAUGAUGCUCAGGUCCGCCGCAUCUCCUGGGUUCCGUGGGGUCGGCCGGCCGGCGGCUGGCUCAAAGUGGCCUCCUCGUACCGCUGCCAGUUCCGCCGGUCGGCCCCUUU
rnacentral:sRNA from 1 species